AGCGAACGCUGGCGGCAGGCUUAACACAUGCAAGUCGAGCGCCCCGCAAGGGGAGCGGCAGACGGGUGAGUAACGCGUGGGAAUCUACCCAUCUCUACGGAAUAACGCAUGGAAACGUGUGCUAAUACCGUAUACGUCCUUCGGGAGAAAGAUUUAUCGGAGAUGGAUGAGCCCGCGUUGGAUUAGCUAGUUGGUGGGGUAAAGGCCUACCAAGGCGACGAUCCAUAGCUGGUCUGAGAGGAUGAUCAGCCACACUGGGACUGAGUCACGGCCCAGACUCGUACGGGAGGCAGCAGUGGGGAAUAUUGGAAAAUGGGCGCAAGCUUGAUCCAGCCAUGCCGCGUGAGGGAUGAAGGCCCUAGGGUUGUAAAGCUCUUUCACCGGUGAAGAUAAUGACGGUAACCGGAGAAGAAGCCCCGGCUAACUUCGUGCCAGCCGCCGCCGUAAGAC
rnacentral:rRNA from 1 species